rnacentral:rRNA from 1 species
GUCCACGCUGUAAACGAUGGAUACUAGGUGUAGGAGGUCAUUUACCCCUUCUGUGCCGAAGCUAACGCGUUAAGUAUCCCGCCUGGGGACUACGGCCGCAAGGUUAAAACUCAAAGGAAUUGACGGGGCCCGCACAAGCAGCGGAGCGUGUGGUUUAAUUCGAUGAUACGCGAAGAACCUUACCUGGGUUUGACAUAUACGUAGUAGGGAAGUGAAAGCGGACCGACCCUUCGGGGAGCGUAAACAGGUGCUGCAUGGCUGUCGU